UGGCGGCAUGCCUAACACAUGCAAGUCGAACGAAGCCUUCGGGCUUAGUGGCGCACGGGUGCGUAACACGUGGGAAUCUGCCCUUCGGUUCGGAAUAACAGUUAGAAAUGACUGCUAAUACCGGAUGAUGACGAAAGUCCAAAGAUUUAUCGCCGAAGGAUGAGCCCGCGUAGGAUUAGGUAGUUGGUAGGGUAAUGGCCUACCAAGCCGACGAUCCUUAGCUGGUCUGAGAGGAUGAUCAGCCACACUGGGACUGAGACACGGCCCAGACUCCUACGGGAGGCAGCAGUGGGGAAUAUUGGACAAUGGGCGAAAGCCUGAUCCAGCAAUGCCGCGUGAGUGAUGAAGGCCUUAGGGUUGUAAAGCUCUUUUACCAGGGAUGAUAAUGACAGUACCUGGAGAAUAAGCUCCGGCUAACUCCGUGCCAGCAGCCGCGGUAAUACGGAGGGAGCUAGCGUUGUUCGGAAUUACUGGGCGUAAAGCGCACGUAGGCGGUUACUCAAGUCAGAGGUGAAAGCCCGGGGCUCAACCCCGGAACUGCCUUUGAAACUAGGU
rnacentral:rRNA from 1 species